rnacentral:rRNA from 1 species
UGGGGGAUAUUGCACAAUGGGCGAAAGCCUGAUGCAGCGACGCCGCGUGGGGGAUGAAGGCCUUCGGGUUGUAAACUUCUUUUGCUCUGAACAAGGCGCACCAUGGGGUGUGUUGAGUGUAGGGGUUGAUUAGCGCCGGCUAACUACGUGCCAGCAGCCGCGGUAAUACGUAGGGCGCGAGCGUUGUCCGGAAUUAUUGGGCGUAAAGGGCUUGUAGGUGGCUGGUUGCGUCUGUCGUGAAAGCUCAUGGCUUAACUGUGGGUUUGCGGUGGGUACGGGCUGGCUUGAGUGCAGUAGGGGAGGCUGGAAUGCCUGGUGUAGCGGGGGAAUGCGCAGAUAUCAGGAGGAAGACCUGGGGCGAAGGGGGGGCUCUGGGCUGGUACUGACACUGAGGAGCGAAAGCAUGGGGAGCGAACAGG